CGAAUGUCACCGGUAUUCUUCAUUAUUUCGUUUCAAGAAAAGUGAAAAUGUUGCCUCGCAAAUUGCGAAUCAACGACAUUAAUGGCAUUCAAAGGUUCAUUGUGGUAUUCGUUAUAUUUCUCGGUGUGGUAAUGAAUUUCUUUACGCGACACAGUUUGAAUCUCGCAAUGACAAAAUUGAAUCCGAAAGUAGAAACUAAAUCGCUCAGUUUUACGGAAACAUACGUUUGGAAUUCAAAAUUGGAGAGUUACAUUCACGCAGCAUUUUAUGUCGGUUAUGUACCUGG